rnacentral:rRNA from 1 species
UACGUAGGGUGCGAGCGUUGUCCGGAAUUAUUGGGCGUAAAGAGCUCGUAGGCGGUGUGUCACGUCGGCCGUGAAAACCUGCAGCUUAACUGUGGGCGUGCGGUCGAUACGGGCAUCACUGGAGUUCGGCAGGGGAGACUGGAAUUCCUGGUGUAGCGGUGAAAUGCGCAGAUAUCAGGAGGAACACCAAUAGCGAAGGCAGCUCGCUGGGACGUUACUGACACUGAGGCGCGAAAGCGUGGGGAGCAAACAGG